CCCUUAGAUGUUCUGGGCCGCACGCGCGCUACACUGACGAAUGCAACGAGCUUAUAACCUUGGCCGAAAGGUCUGGGUAAUCUCCAAAUUUCGUCGUGAUGGGGAUAGAUUAUUGCAAUUAUUAAUCUUCAACGAGGAAUGCCUAGUAAGCGCAAGUCAUCAGCUUGCGUUGAUUACGUCCCUGCCCUUUGUACAGACCGCCCGUCGCUCCUACCGAUUGAAUGGUCCGGUGAAGCGUUCGGACCGUGGCCUUUGGACGGUUCGCCGUCUGUUGGCUGCGGGAAGUUCGUUAAACCUUAUCAUUUAGAGGAAGGAGAAGUCGUAACA
rnacentral:rRNA from 1 species